GACGAACGCUGGCGGCGUGCCUAAUACAUGCAAGUCGAGCGCAGGAAGCUGACGGAACUCUUCGGAGGGAAGGCAGUGGAGUGAGCGGCGGACGGGUGAGUAACACGUAAGGAACCUGCCUCAAGGAUUGGGAUAACUCCGAGAAAUCGGAGCUAAUACCGGAUAGUUCAACGGACCGCAUGGUCCGCUGAUGAAAGGCGCUCCGGCGUCACCUUGAGAUGGCCUUGCGGUGCAUUAGCUAGUUGGUGGGGUAACGGCCCACCAAGGCGACGAGGCAUAGCCGACCUGAGAGGGUGAUCGGCCACACUGGGACUGAGACACGGCCCAGACUCCUACGGGAGGCAGCAGUAGGGAAUCUUCCACAAUGGACGAAAGUCUGAUGGAGCAACGCCGCGUGAGUGAUGAAGGUUUUCGGAUCGUAAAACUCUGUUGUAAGGGAAGAACACGUACGAGAGGGAAUGCUCGUACCUUGACGGUACCUUACGAGAAAGCCACGGCUAACUACGUGCCAGCCGCCGCGGUAAUAC
rnacentral:rRNA from 1 species